rnacentral:snoRNA from 2 species
CGCGAAAGUGAUGAGUUGCACGUUGGUGUGGCCACAGCAUCGGGUGAUGUGGGCUGCACUCAGUAGCAGUCUGGUGACAAACCAAGUGCACAGGGGCCAUCUGACUCGCG